GUUGAAACACCGUUCCCCGUAUGAUCACCGAAGGUAAGCAACGUAUAGCCUAGUCAGUAGCAAGAUGAGUGACCGCUUGGGAAUACCAGACGC